rnacentral:piRNA from 1 species
UGUUCAGAAAGCUACUUAGACAGGGUAUC